GCAUGUGCAACCUGGGCCCCGCCUCUUCCCUUCCGCCUUCACAAACCUCAUCUCUAAAUCCUGGCGCCUCUAGGUCUUGGCCAGUGAACUAGGAGCGGGCUCCACUGUGGACCUCGGGUGGCCUGGAGGUUUGCUGAGAGCCCUGUUCUUGUGGCGGAGGCAGAAGCGUGACAUCUCGGGACGCCCUCCCACCGGGCGGGACCCCUCAGUGCCCGGGUCUGGCCUGGACCUCGCCAGGGGAAGGUGGGUGGGGGAUCCCUGUUGCUGCCCCGUAGUCUGGGGUAGGUGUAUCUGAGACCCGUUAGGAGCUAGAGCAUGGCUGGUAUGGGGACCGCGUGUCCGGCCCUGCCUGCUGCCUUGCGGGGUAACGGGGUCGCAGUGAGAGGAAAAGUUCCACGAUAGCGCUGGCGGUGGGUUGGAGGAGAGGGCGGGAUGGGGUCUGCGGGGCAGCGCUGCUCUGGGUCCGGCGUUGCUGUGAUCAUUUCCUGCUGUGUAAUCUGUGACCUUCGGCUGAAGAAGUAACCUGCGGGAGAGUAAGCUUCAGCUUGCAGGGGCUCAAUAUGGAAUCUCAGUUCCCAGGCCAGGGAUUGGAUGGCGGUGGUGAAAGUGCAAAAAAGCCCUAAUCACUAGCCCAGCAGGGAGCUCCAGAUAUGAUGUCACACAAGGAGUUAGCAAAGUGCCAGCUGACACUUCACAGGCCUCUCUAAUGUCUGAAGUGCUCCAGAAAAUGAAUCUAUUUGAGGCAUCAGUGUCCUUCAAGGAUGUGACUGUGGAGAUUACUCAGGAGGAGUGGCAGCAGAUGAGCCCUGCUCAAAGGACUCUGUACAGAGAUGUGGUGCUGGAGAACUACAGCCACCUUGUGUCAUCAGGAUAUUGUUUUAAAAAUCCAGAGGUAAUCAUCAAGUUGGAGCAAGGAAAGGAUCCAUUGUUUUCUGAGGAAGACUUUCUAAGCAAGAGCUAUGCAGGGCUGCACUUAAGCCAUAUGGAAGUUCCUGGGUUGGGGUGGAAUCAGAUACAGCUGGGACCUAUGCUACAGAAGGUACUAAAGGGACUUUCAGUACUGUGUUGAAAAGAAGAGGUGAAAGUGGGCAUCACUAUCUUAUUCCAGAAAUUAGAGGAAAAUCCUUCCGCUUUAUACUCCUGAGCAUGAUGUUAGAUGUCACAGGUGCCGCAUUUCAAGAGCUCACUUAAGAACAGGUGACAGCGAGUGGCCAGGCAGGGGCGCAAGACCCCGGGAGGCGCAGGUCCUAUUCAAGUUGGCUGCUAGUCCUCAUCCUUCUACAUCUUCCCUCCAGAUUGCCUUCCUUUUAAGGACCCACAUCCACCUCCUCAGCUGGACUGAAACCAGGGAACCAUUAUCCAACCUGAGGAUUCCCAAGUUGAGAGAGAAGAAACAAGGAUGCGAGCCCUAAGGAAGUCCAAGCCCUCCGUCUAGGACUGCAAAUAGCCGCUUCGGGCUUCCCCGUGUACCGGGCACUGUUCCUGGCAUCACUGCGCUAGUUCCUCAAAACGACCCUCCGGUGGACGAGGGUGCUGAGGCUCAGAAGUAGGGCCGGGCGGGACAGACGAAGAAACUGGGGCUCAGAAGACGUCAGGGGCGGCCCACAUCCACAGGCAGCCUUGCGGCCAGAACAGAAGAGAAACCCGCACUCAAGCCAGUCUCGCCCACCCUGCCUCCCCCUCUGCGGAUCCGACCCCAUCGACCGAAUGUAGUCGCCAGGGCCCAGGAGGGCUCCCGCCGCCGGCCGUCAAGGGCUGCCAGGACUCCACCCGCCGACCCCGCAGCUGGCCCCGUUGGGGUCCCAGACGCCGGGGCGCGCGGCCCUCGACCACGCGCGGCCCCGCGUCAGCGCCCCCGCGGGGCUUCCCCACCGCCGCGGCGGAGAAAAGCACCGCAGCCGAGCCCCCCGCCAGGCCGCAGCCGCAGGCCGCUAGCAACAGCGCCUGCCGGAUGGCCUUGCUGGCCAGUCCCGCACCAACCCCGCGCAGGCGCGCUCACGGGCGCGGACGGCGCCCAGUCAAUUAGUGUGUUUAAAUUAUUUUCACAUUAGAGAAAUAAAUCCAGCUCAAUCAUGGUAUAUGAAACUUUUAAAGUGCAUUUUAAUUUACUUCCUAGUGUUUUGUGGAGAAUUUCUGCAAUGAUGUCCAUUAGAGAUAACUGGAUCAUAAUUCUUUUCUUGUAUCCUUAUCUGGUUUUUAUAUUAUAUUAUGGUAAUAUGGGCCUCAUAAAAUGAGCUUGAAAGUGCACUCUCUUCUUUUUUGGAAGAGUUUGAGAAAGAAUGGUAUUAAGUCAUCUCUAAAGUUCGGUCUAAUUCACCAGUAAAUACCAUGGGCAUUUCUUUUUCAGCGGUUUGUGAUUACUGAUUAAAUCUUCUAAUUGUUGGUCAGUUCCGAUUUUCUAUUUCUCUAUGAUCCAGUAUUAUUCGGUUCUGUUUCUAAGAAUUUAUCCAUUUCUUCUAGAUGAUUCAGUUUGGCAAAUCACUGUUCACAAUAAUCUUUCAUGAUAUUUCUUUGAUAUCCUUUGCAAUGUCUCCUCUAAGAUUUUGUUUAACUACUUAUGUAAUCAUUUUUUUUAGGGCUGUACCCACAACAUAUGGAGGUUUCCAGGCUAGGGGUGGAAACAGCUACAGCUGCUGGCCUACCCCACAGCCACAGCAAUGCCAGAUCUGAACUGCCCCUGUGACCUAUGCAGCUUAUGGCAACACCAGAUCCUUAACCAACUUAGUGUGGCCAGGGAUGGAAACCAUGUCCUGACCCACACAUACUCCACCUCUGUGAAUUGCUCUAUGUGUUCUCUAGGGUGCUGGCAAGAACAAGCUUUUUGGAGAUGCUCGUGAGCUUGUGCAGAAAGCCUGCCUGAAUCUGCACCAAGAGAGAGACCACAAACUUGAGAUUUAGUGCCACCAUUAGGAAAACAAAAAGAGGUUGUCAAAAACUGGUCUGGUGUAUUACAGGAUCAAGAGAAGGUAUAUGUGCUUAAACUGCAUCACAAGAGAGAGCAUUAAGUAUGGAGCAGGUAUAUUCGUAGGCUGUCUGAGAAAGUCUCAAAUACCUAGCUCAACAGACAAAAGGUAUUACUAUCCCAAGGCACUUAGUAAAGACUGGAAAAGGUAACUUCUACUUCUUUGUAUUGCUUCAAAGAGAUCAAUACAAAACUAAGAAAAAAAAAAUAAAAAGCAAUUUAGGAACCUGACAUCACUGAAGGAUCAGUCUUAUGUCCUGUAUGAGGCCAAUUCUCCAAGAUUGGUCAACUUACUGUGUAAUACAUAGAAAGGCACUGAGAGACUUAGGCAAAAUAAGGAGACAGGAAAUUGUUCUGAAUGAAGAAACAGGGUCUGAGGAUCCUCAAAGCCUUCCUAUUCAGUGCCCACUUAUUCUUCCCAUCUGAGUUCUGAGUUAGAUAAGACGGAGACCAGUUCUUCAGAUAGCUCCGAGGCAGGGUACAGUGUUGUAAAUAAGCUUUGCUCUGUUUCCUCCAGUUCAAGGCAAGAAAUUGAGAACUGGAUGCCAUCUCUUCCAUAUUGAGUUGUGCCAUGCCUUACAUAGAGGGGUUGGGAUAUGUGUGAGCUAAGAUGCCAGGAAUUUUUGUUGAUGUGAAUUUUUUUUUUUCUGAUGUUUGGAUGUUGACUGGUUGGUGCACGUCUUUGUUUUCCUGUGCAUACUGUACCUAUAUAAUAUAUUUUUCCAGUUGUGCUUUUUUUAUGUGAGUUUCUCUGAGGAAGCAAUAGCUUGGCGCUUCCAGCAUUUUGCUGAUUUACUGCCCUUUAAUGUUUACUCUUUUUGGUGUGGAGUUCUGUGGGUUUUGACAUGUGCACAAUAUCAUACAUUCAUUCUAAUUAGUAUCAUAAAAAUUACUUUCACUGUGAUUAAAAAUAAAACUUGGGCUUCCCCUACUCAGCCCUCCCUGAUUCUUGUUAACCAUGUGGCACCCACUGAUUAUUUUACUGUCUCCAAAGUUUUGCCUCUUCCACAAUUACAUGUAAUUGGAUACCUACAUUAUCUUUAGUGGGGAUAUGGAGAAAUCUGAACUGUUGGGUAUUGCUGGUUUGAAUGUAAAAUACUUCAGAUGCUAUGGAAAACAAAAUAGAUCGUCCCUCAAAAAGUUAAACAUGGUGUUAACUUAUGACCCAACAAUUCUCUGUAUACACACAAUAAUUGAAAAUAGUUUCUCAGGUAAACACUUUUACAUAAAUCAUCUAGUGGCAGUAUUCACAUUACCUCAAGGACGGAAACAACCCAAUCAUUUAUUAACUAACAAAUGAGUAUAGAAACUACGGUGUAUAUAUAACAGUGGAGUAGCAUUCAGCCAUAAAGGAAUAAAAUACUGGUAUCUGCCACAUCAUGGACAAUCCUUGAGACAUUAUGAGUGGAAGAAUACAGACACAAAAGGCUACCUAUUCUAUGAUUCCAUUUAUGUGAAUCAACCAAAACAGGCAAAAGCAUGGAGACAGCAAGCAGAUGGUUGGUUGUAGAGGAGUGGAGGACUACGGAUGAGAAGAAAAUGCUUAAUGUGUAUGGCUUUUUGGAGGGGUAGUGAGAAAUUUGUUAAUACAUUUUCCUGUAUUGCAUACUUUUAAAUUCAUAAAUUAAUCAAUUCAUAAAUAAAGAUUGGGAAUGUGAAAGAAAAAAUAACAUUGGUUGAAAGGACAUUGAUGUAUUGCCAGAAAUAUGGUGUACAACUAUUUUUCAAAGUUUUAUUACUUUGAUUUGACAGGUAAUGAGAUAUUUUAUUUGGGGGACUCAUUGUCACAUCCCAGGAAUAACUCGAAUUUUAAUCAAGUUAGAAAGACUGAAUUGUUUGGUAUUUCAGAAGAAGAAGAACUUUAGAAAGUUAUAGAGGGAGUCCUGUUUUGGCUUGGCAAGUUGAGAAUCUGACUAGUAUACAUGAAGAUGCGGGUUGGAUCCCUGGCCUCAGUCAGUGGGUUAAGGAUCUGGUGUUGCUGCAAGGUGCAGCAUAUGUUGCAGAUUGGGCAUGGAUCAGUUGUUGCCCUGGCUGUGGCCUAGGCCAGCAGCUGCAGCUCCAAUUAGAUCCCCAGCCUGGGGAACUGCCAUAUGCCACAAGUGUGGCCCUAAAAAAAAAAAAGUGUGAUGACAAAAAAAUUAUAAAGAUUUGUUUUAUCACCAUAUGAAAAGUGAGGGACAAGAAACACCUAGAUUUGAUGUAGUAUUAUUAAUGAGUUUCUAGGGAAGAGUUGUCCAAUAAGAAGAGACAGCCAGUCUUUCUCAUUUUAAAUUUGAAUACGUGAAAUGCUACCCUGUUUCAAUUUUUUGAGAAUAUAUGUUAUCUACAUUGGAUGUCCCUCAGGUUUUUUCUAUGCUUUUACUGUCCAUAAUCUGUUUUAGCCUCAGAUUAAAUACUAAUAAAAAUUCUUAGUGGGAAUUGGGGAGAAGAGAAAAUACAGAGAGACUAAGAGGUACAAACUUUCAGUUACAAAAUAAAUGAGUGACAGAUAUGGAAUAUACAAUGUCAGCAAUACUGUCAAUAAUUAUCUAAUAACUUUAUAUGGUGACAGGUGAAAACUAAAUUUGUCGUGGUAGUCAUUUUGAAAUAUAUAGAAAUAUCUAAUCCCUAUGUUUUAUACCAGGAAAAAACAUAGUGUUUUAGGUCAGUUAUACUUCAAAAACAAACAAAAUCAUAAAAAAGAGAUGAGAUUAGUUUUUAUCACAGAUGGAAUGUGGGAAGAGGGAGUAUUUAUGAAGGUGAAGAAAAAACCAACUCUGCUUGUAAGAUAAAUAAGUGCAAGGGAUGUAAAGUACAACAUCAUAAAUAUAAUGAACACUAUAUUAUAUAUGAAAGUUGCUUAGAGAAUAAAUCCUAAGAGUUCUCAUCACAAGAAAAAUAAAUUUCUAUUUCUUUAAUGUAUCUUUAUGAGAUAAUGGAUGCUCACUAACCUUGUAAUCAUUUCAUGUAUGUAAGGCAAAUCAUUAUGCUGUACACCUAGAACCUUGUACAGUGAUGUAUCUCAAUUUUAUCUCAAUAAAACUGGGAAAAAACUCAAAA